UACGUAGGUCCCGAGCGUUGUCCGGAUUUAUUGGGCGUAAAGCGAGCGCAGGUGGUUUAUUAAGUCUGGUGUAAAAGGCAGUGGCUCAACCAUUGUAUGCAUUGGAAACUGGUAGACUUGAGUGCAGGAGAGGAGAGUGGAAUUCCAUGUGUAGCGGUGAAAUGCGUAGAUAUAUGGAGGAACACCGGUGGCGAAAGCGGCUCUCUGGCCUGUAACUGACACUGAGGCUCGAAAGCGGGGGGAGCAAACAGG
rnacentral:rRNA from 1 species